rnacentral:lncRNA from 1 species
CUGGAAUGUCAGGGAUGCUAUUAAGGAAGCAAUAAGAAGAAAGGGUCACUGGGUGUGUGGCGAGGGAGAAGUGGAAAGGGCGACAAGAUUUUAGGCCUCAGUGACUGGUAUGAGGGGUUCUCUGGGUCCUCUCAGUCCCUGUUUAUGGAGGGCUGGGGGCUUGCGUCUAGAGAAUUUCUCUCUGAGAAACUACGCCCCCGGGGAAAUCGGCCCCCAGCCCUGCGCCAGAAUUCCCUGCCGCAAGUUUCGGGGCAAGGCCUCCUCCAUGCUUCCCUCCCAGUCUUGCCCAGCGCCCACUGAUGAGGAAGGGCCUCUGCGGGCCAUCGAAUCUUCUCGUAUUCCUGAAACAGAAUGGUACGGUCCAGAACCCGCCCCAUCUUCUCUGCGAUUGGCCGUCCUUCCUCAGCGAGUCGUGUGAUUUUUCACCAAUGGCCGCUCGCGUUUCUUUAGCGAGGGCUAAGCGAUGGAAGGAGGUGGCCAGGGAGACGCCCCCUACGUGUCCUGGGAUUGGCUACGUCGCACGGCGCGCGAGGCCUGCGGGCCCGAAAGAUAAGAACUACGACUCCCGGCGCCCCGCAAAGGGAACUCCGCUACGCAUGCGCACGGGCGGGGCGAACAAGCUUCUAUAUAAAAGGGGCGCAGAGGGCUGGGAGACAGCAGUUGGAAGUUGGCAGGUGGAGAGGCAGGUUGGGGGGGGAAGUUGGGGGAGGAGGCGGAAGAGGAGCUGUGGGAAGGGGGAGGAGGGAGGGAGGAAAAGAGGAGGAGGCGGAGGAGAACUGAGCAGAGCAGAGCAUCGAGCCAAAGGGGAGAUGAGUUUGUCUGUCCUCUGCUGAGGCUCCGGCCGGGCCUAGGGAACUGGGAGCUUGGGUGGAAGCGACACCCGUGGAAGUGGGAGGCGGUGGCGCCGGGACUUUAACCCCUUGUGGGCUCUGCGGCAGGGGAUUUAACCCUUUGUGGAUCUGGCCCCUCGGAGGCAGCGUCAUCGGUAGUUUUAACCCCUUCGGGGCUGGGUUUCACGCACUGGACUUACCCUCAUCACCUUGCUCACCAACUCCUUUACUGGGGUGCUCCGCUUGGAGGUUUGAGGCCCACCUCCGCACAUUACGUACUGUUCCUGCCGCUGCACCCCCUUGGACCCGCUAGCUGGCCGCACUGUGGGCGCUUAACCCUUUACUGACUUGAGCUCCCCAGAUUGCAAUUGGAGUUUGCUGAUAGAAGGACUAGCUAAAGGCGUCACUGCAGGAAUUACAAACUGAAGAGGACUCUGUUGGACUGUGUUUUUCUUUUUUUCUUUUUUUUUUUUUAAGAAAAACCCAUUUUUUUCCUUAAGGACUUACUAGCCAAAAUUUCUUAAA